rnacentral:tRNA from 1 species
GGCCUUAUGGUCUAGUCGUAUGAUUCUCCCUUUGGGUGGGAGAGGUCUCGGGUUCAAUUCCCGAUGAGGUCC